rnacentral:tRNA from 1 species
GGGCCCGUAGCUCAGGUGGUUAGAGCAGGUGACUCAUAAUCUCCGGGUCGCUGGUUCAAGUCCAGCCGGGCCCACC